GAUGAACGCUGGCGGCGUGCCUAAUACAUGCAAGUCGAGCGAACAGACGAGGAGCUUGCUCCUCUGACGUUAGCGGCGGACGGGUGAGUAACCCGUGGAUAACCUACCUAUAAGACUGGGAUAACUUCGGGAAACCGGAGCUAAUACCGGAUAAUAUAUUGAACCGCAUGGUUCAAUAGUGAAAGACGGUUUUGCUGUCACUUAUAGAUGGAUCCGCGCCGCAUUAGCUAGUUGGUAAGGUAACGGCUUACCAAGGCAACGAUGCGUAGCCGACCUGGGAGGGUGAUCGGCCACACUGGAACUGAGACACGGUCCAGACUCCUACGGGAGGCAGCAGUAGGGAAUCUUCCGCAAUGGGUGAAAGCCUGACGGAGCAACGCCGCGUGAGUGAUGAAGGUCUUCGGAUCGUAAAACUCUGUUAUUAGGGAAGAACAAAUGUGUAAGUAACUAUGCACGUCUUGACGGUACCUAAUCAGAAAGCCACGGCUAACUACGUG
rnacentral:rRNA from 1 species